UACGGAGGGUGCAAGCGUUAUCCGGAUUUACUGGGUUUAAAGGGUGCGUAGGCGGGUAUAUAAGUCAGUGGUGAAAGCUCCGGGCUUAACUUGGAAACUGCCAUUGAUACUGUAUAUCUUGAAUGUCGUAGAGGUUAGCGGAAUGUUGCAUGUAGCGGUGAAAUGCUUAGAUAUGUUACAGAACACCAAUUGCGAAGGCAGCUAACUAUGCGAUGAUUGACGCUGAGGCACGAAAGCGUGGGGAGCAAACAGG
rnacentral:rRNA from 1 species